GACGAACGCUGGCGGCGUGCUUAACACAUGCAAGUCGAACGGAAAGGCCCUGCUUUUGUGGGGUGCUCGAGUGGCGAACGGGUGAGUAACACGUGAGUAACCUGCCCUUGACUUUGGGAUAACUUCAGGAAACUGGGGCUAAUACCGGAUAGGAGCUCCUGCUGCAUGGUGGGGGUUGGAAAGUUUCGGCGGUUGGGGAUGGACUCGCGGCUUAUCAGCUUGUUGGUGGGGUAGUGGCUUACCAAGGCUUUGACGGGUAGCCGGCCUGAGAGAGUGACCGGCCACAUUGGGACUGAGAUACGGCCCAGACUCCUACGGGAGGCAGCAGUGGGGAAUAUUGCACAAUGGGCGGAAGCCUGAUGCAGCAACGCCGCGUGCGGGAUGACGGCCUUCGGGUUGUAAACCGCUUUCGCCUGUGACGAAGCGUGAGUGACGGUAAUGGGUAAAGAAGCACCGGCUAACUACGUGCCAGCAGCCGCGGUGAUACGUAGGGUGCGAGCGUUGUCCGGAUUUAUUGGGCGUAAAGGGCUCGUAGGUGGUUGAUCGCGUCGGAAGUGUAAUCUUGGGGCUUAACCCUGAGCGUGCUUUCGAUACGGGUUGACUUGAGGAAGGUAGGGGAGAAUGGAAUUCCUGGUGGAGCGGUGGAAUGCGCAGAUAUCAGGAGGAACACCAGUGGCGAAGGCGGUUCUCUGGGCCUUUCCUGACGCUGAGGAGCGAAAGCGUGGGGAGCGAACAGGCUUAGAUACCCUGGUAGUCCACGCUGUAAACGGUGGGUACUAGGUGUGGGGUCCAUUCCACGGGUUCCGUGCCGUAGCUAACGCUUUAAGUACCCCGCCUGGGGAGUACGGCCGCAAGGCUAAAACUCAAAGGAAUUGACGGGGCCCCGCACAAGCGGCGGAGCAUGCGGAUUAAUUCGAUGCAACGCGUAGAACCUUACCUGGGUUUGACAUGGAUCGGGAGUGCUCAGAGAUGGGUGUGCCUCUUUUGGGGUCGGUUCACAGGUGGUGCAUGCCUGUCGUCAGCUCGUGUCGUGAGAUGUUGGGUUAAGUCCCGCAACGAGCGCAACCCUUGUUCACUGUUGCCAGCACGUUAUGGUGGGGACUCAGUGGAGACCGCCGGGGUCAACUCGGAGGAAGGUGGGGAUGACGUCAAGCCAUCAUGCCCCUUAUGUCCAGGGCUUCACGCAUGCUACAAUGGCUGGUACAGAGAGUGGCGAGCCUGUGAGGGUGAGCGAAUCUCGGAAAGCCGGUCUCAGUUCGGAUUGGGGUCUGCAACUCGACCUCAUGAAGUCGGAGUCGCUAGUAAUCGCAGAUCAGCAACGCUGCGGUGAAUACGUUCCCGGG
rnacentral:rRNA from 1 species